rnacentral:rRNA from 1 species
GACGUAGGGCGCGAGCGUUGUCCGGAUUUAUUGGGCGUAAAGAGCUCGUAGGCGGCUUGUUGCGUCGACUGUGAAAACCCGCGGCUUAACUGCGGGCUUGCAGUUGAUACGGGCAGGCUAGAGUUCGGUAGGGGAGACUGGAAUUCCUGGUGUAGCGGUGAAAUGCGCAGAUAUCAGGAGGAACACCGAUGGCGAAGGCAGGUCUCGUGGGCAUUAACUGACGCUGAGGAGCGAAAGCGUGGGGAGCGAACAGG